GGCAAGCGUUGUUCGGAAUUACUGGGCGUAAAGGGCGCGUAGGCGGCCUUCUAAGUCGAACGUGAAAUCCCUGGGCUCAACCCAGGAACUGCGUCCGAUACUGGAAGGCUUGAAUCCGGGAGAGGGAUGCGGAAUUCCAGGUGUAGCGGUGAAAUGCGUAGAUAUCUGGAGGAACACCGGUGGCGAAGGCGGCAUCCUGGACCGGUAUUGACGCUGAGGCGCGAAAGCCAGGGGAGCAAACGGG
rnacentral:rRNA from 1 species